rnacentral:misc_RNA from 1 species
UCUCCGUUGGUGAACCAGCGGAGGGAUCAUUAUAGAGUUUUCAAAACUCCCAAACCCAUGUGAACUUACCUAUGUUGCCUCGGCGGAGCCUACCCUGUAGCUACCCUAUAGCGGCUUACCCUGUAAGGGGUUACCCUGUAAGGCAGUUACCCUGUAGCGGUCCGCCGGUGGAAUUCUAAACUCUUGUUAUUUCAGUGAAUCUGAGCGUCUUAUUUUAAUAAGUCAAAACUUUCAACAACGGAUCUCUUGGUUCUGGCAUCGAUGAAGAACGCAGC